AUGUCUCAGUUUAAGCAGCUCCAUAGCAACACUGUGCGUGGCUCAUUAAAACAGCCACAACCUGGGUCGUGGUCCUGCUACAUGGAUAUCUUCGGCAAUUCUGCAGCUAAUACAUGCACCAGCAUUCACCUGUGGUGAGUUGUGGUUGUUGCAUUCAGAAUUAAUGCAAGCUGUGCUUGAUGACCAGAUGAAUCAUUACAACUGCAUGGAUUGUAGUUUGUACACUGUUGAUGCUCUAUCAAGGUUUCUGACCUAUCAGCUUCCGAUGGCAGGGUAAAGGCCUACCGUGGCAGUGACAGGUGACGGAGGAUUAGGGUUUGACUCCGGAGAGGGAGCCUGAGAAAUGGCUCCCACAUCUAAGGAAGGCAGCAGGCGCGUGAAUUGCCCAAUCCUGAGAGAGGGAGGUAGUGACAAAAAAUAGCGAUACAAGGCAUCCAUGUUUUGUAAUUGGAAUGAGGGAUCAGUAAAUGUCGUUUUGAGUACCAAUUGGAGGGCAAGUCUGGUGCCAGCAGCCGCGGUAAUUCCAGCUUCAAUAGCGUAUGUUAGAGUUGUUGCAGUUAAAAGGCUCGUAGUUGGAUUUCUGCUGGAGAUUGCUGGUCCGCCCU
rnacentral:rRNA from 1 species